rnacentral:rRNA from 1 species
GACGAACGCUGGCGGCGUGCCUAAUACAUGCAAGUAGAACGCUGAAGGAGGAGCUUGCUUCUCUGGAUGAGUUGCGAACGGGUGAGUAACGCGUAGGUAACCUGCCUGGUAGCGGGGGAUAACUCUUGGAAACGAUAGCUAAUACCGCAUAAGAGUAGAUGUUGCAUGACAUUUGCUUAAAAGGUGCAAUUGCAUCACUACCAGAUGGACCUGCGUUGUAUUAGCUAGUUGGUGGGGUAACGGCUCACCAAGGCGACGAUACAUAGCCGACCUGGGAGGGGGAUCGGCCAAACUGGGACUGAGACACGGCCCAGACUACUAAGGGAGGCAGCAGGAGGGAAUCUUCGGGAAUGGACGGAAGUCUGAACGAGGAACGGCGCGGGAGGGAAGAAGGGUUUCGGAUCGGAAAGAUCUGUUGUAAGAGAAGAACGAGUGUGGGAGUGGAAAGUGCACACUGUGACGGUACCUUAACAGAAAGGGACGGCUAACUACGUG